ensembl:lncRNA
AGAUUUCCCAUAGUUCAGUAGUUGCCUGUCUGUGCAUCAUUUGGCCUUUUAAGAUUUUCUAAAAGGACAUCUCAAGGAAUAUGUUCUCUUUUUGCUCAUCUGACUUUAUAUACCAUACUCACUCGAUCCCCCUGACUUUGAUCAGACAUAAGGCUCCGGGUGAUAACUUGUCUACAGCUGCCACAGGCUCAUCUCUGUACUAAGAGCUGGUGAACUAACCUUACUGAAGAGCCUUUGCAGUGAGGGUGCCAUCAGAAUGAGUCAGAACAGCUAAUAAAAACAUCACAAACAAACUCCUCUACGUCUUGGAUGGCCUAAGGGUACACACUGGUUUGUUUAUUUCCAGACCUGGACUGCUGUACUUUAUCACAGUGGAUGUUUUGUAUGGAAGAGAAUGGCUUAACAAAAGAGGAAAACAUGAUGGAGAUGAAUGGAUUUCUGCUGGAGGCGGUACACAGCAUUAUUUCAAAGAGUGGGGCAAGAACUAAAGAUGUUGGAAAAGAAGAAGAAGAAGAAGAAGAAGAAGAAGAAGAAGAAGAAGAAGAAGAAGAUAAAGAAGAAGAAAACACUUUCAUAUAU